rnacentral:rRNA from 1 species
UGAGCUUGAUCCUGGCUCAGGACGAACGCUGGCGGCGUGCCUAAUACAUGCAAGUCGAACGCUUUUUCUUUCACCGGAGCUUGCUCCACCGAAAGAAAAAGAGUGGCGAACGGGUGAGUAACACGUGGGUAACCUGCCCAUCAGAAGGGGAUAACACUUGGAAACAGGUGCUAAUACCGUAUAACACUAUUUUCCGCAUGGAAGAAAGUUGAAAGGCGCUUUUGCGUCACUGAUGGAUGGACCCGCGGUGCAUUAGCUAGUUGGUGAGGUAACGGCUCACCAAGGCAACGAUGCAUAGCCGACCUGAGAGGGUGAUCGGCCACACUGGGACUGAGACACGGCCCAGACUCCUACGGGAGGCAGCAGUAGGGAAUCUUCGGCAAUGGACGAAAGUCUGACCGAGCAACGCCGCGUGAGUGAAGAAGGUUUUCGGAUCGUAAAACUCUGUUGUUAGAGAAGAACAAGGAUGAGAGUAAAAUGUUCAUCCCUUGACGGUAUCUAACCAGAAGCACCG